GGGGACGAUCGGUUUCGACGAGAGCUCUUUAACAAAACUGCAAGCGGACUUUUAUCUGUAGUCCUUAAAAAUUGAUUAAAAAACAAAAGCUAAAUCUUAUGAUUCAGCUUCUGAUUACGCGGGCAAUUUUGCCUUCGCAUAAUCGGUGUCCUUUAAUUUGAUUCUCGACCGAAUUAAAUGGGCAUAAACCCGUUCGGGAUGCUGUUUGAAUCUUAACGAUUUAAAGAUUCACGCAAAAGACAAAUAAAUCUUACAUCGAGCGUUCCUGUUGGCUGGAUAAGCUCGAUGAAAAUUUAAAAACCAAAUAAGCUUGUAGAUGUUUUGUUUUAAUGUUUUUCGGACGCGGGUUCGAUUCCCGCCGUCUCCACAC
rfam:Microgenomates bacterium GW2011_GWC1_39_7b TT58_C0003, whole genome shotgun sequence.